rnacentral:tRNA from 1 species
UGCCCUAUAGCUCAAUGGCAGAGCGAGCGGCUGUUAACCGCUAGGUUGCAGGUUCAAGUCCUGCUGGGGCAGCCA